rnacentral:rRNA from 1 species
CAGCCAGACUCCUACGGGAGGCAGCAGUGGGGAAUAUUGCACAAUGGGCGCAAGCCUGAUGCAGCCAUGCCGCGUGUAUGAAGAAGGCCUUCGGGUUGUAAAGUACUUUCAGCGGGGAGGAAGGUGCUGAGGUUAAUAACCUCAGCAAUUGACGUUACCCGCAGAAGAAGCACCGGCUAACUCCGUGCCAGCAGCCGCGGUAAUACGGAGGGUGCAAGCGUUAAUCGGAAUUACUGGGCGUAAAGCGCACGCAGGCGGUCUGUCAAGUCGGAUGUGAAAUCCCUGGGCUCAACCUGGGAACUGCAUUCGAAACUGGCAGGCUGGAGUCUUGUAGAGGGGGGUAGAAUUCCAGGUGUAGCGGUGAAAUGCGUAGAGAUCUGGAGGAAUACCGGUGGCGAAGGUGGCCCCCUGGACAAAGACUGACGCUCAGGUGCGAAAGCGUGGGGAGCAAACAGGAUUAGAUACCCGAGUAC